UACGAAGGGUGCAAGCGUUAAUCGGAAUUACUGGGCGUAAAGCGUGCGUAGGCGGUUUCUUAAGUCUGCUGUGAAAUCCCCGGGCUCAACCUGGGAAUGGCAGUGGAUACUGGGGAGCUAGAGUGUGAUAGAGGAUGGUGGAAUUCCCGGUGUAGCGGUGAAAUGCGUAGAGAUCGGGAGGAACAUCAGUGGCGAAGGCGGCCAUCUGGAUCAAAACUGACGCUCAUGCACGAAAGCGUGGGGAGCAAACAGG
rnacentral:rRNA from 1 species